CCUACGGGUGGCUGCAGUGGGGAAUAUUGCACAAUGGGCGCAAGCCUGAUGCAGCCAUGCCGCGUGUGUGAAGACGGCCUUCGGGUUGUAAAGCACUUUCAGCGGGGAGGAAGGCGGUGAGGUUAAUAACCUCAUCGAUUGACGUUACCCGCAGAAGAAGCACCGGCUAACUCCGUGCCAGCAGCCGCGGUAAUACGGAGGGUGCAAGCGUUAAUCGGAAUUACUGGGCGUAAAGCGCACGCAGGCGGUCUGUCAAGUCGGAUGUGAAAUCCCCGGGCUCAACCUGGGAACUGCAUUCGAAACUGGCAGGCUAGAGUCUUGUAGAGGGGGGUAGAAUUGCAGGUGUAGCGGUGAAAUGCGUAGAGAUCUGGAGGAAUACCGGUGGCGAAGGCGGCCCCCUGGACAAAGACUGACGCUCAGGUGCGAAAGCGUGGGGAGCGAACAGGAUUAGAUACCCGGUAGUC
rnacentral:rRNA from 1 species